UACGAAGGGGGCAAGCGUUGUUCGGAAUUACUGGGCGUAAAGGGCGUGUAGGCGGAUCGACCAGUCAGGGGUGAAAUCCCGGGGCUCAACCUCGGAACUGCCUUUGAUACUGUCGAUCUAGAGUCUGUGAGAGGGUGGCGGAAUACCCAGUGUAGAGGUGAAAUUCGUAGAUAUUGGGUAGAACACCAGUGGCGAAGGCGGCCACCUGGCACAGUACUGACGCUGAGGCGCGAAAGCGUGGGGAGCAAACAGGAUUAGAUACCCCCGUAGUCC
rnacentral:rRNA from 1 species